GGUAGUAGAAAAUAUUCAAAUUAGAACUUUGAAGGCCGAAGAGGAGAAAGGUUCCAUGUGAACGACACUUGCACAUGGGUAAGCCGAUCCUAAGGGCCGGGGUAACCCCGGCAGAUAGUGCGAUCACGCGCAUCCCCCGAAAGGGAAUCGGGUUAAGAUUUCCCGCCCCGGGAUGUGGCGGUUGACGGCGAUAUUAGGAAGUCCGGAGACGCCGGCGGGGGCCUCGGGAAGAGUUAUCUUUUCUGCUUAACGGCCUGCCAACCCUAGAAACGGUUCAGCCGGAGGUAGGGUCCAGUGGCCGGAAGAGCACCGCACGUCGCACGGUGUCCGAUGCGCCCCCGGCGGCCCAUAAAAAUCCGAAGGACAGAGUACCGUUCACGCCCGGUCGUACUCAUAACCGCAUCAGGUCUCCAAGGUGAACAACAUCUGGCC
rnacentral:rRNA from 16 species